AUUCGUGGUAUGUGGAUACGCGCCUUUAAAUUUACCGAAUUUCCGUAUAUUAGUGAAAAUUUUCUAGUGCAGUUAGUAAAGAGGUGGGAUAGACAUUCCUAAGUACUUGUUUUGGAUUGCAGAGCUAAUGCGGUGUAUGGUAAACUUAUUUGAUCCAAAAAUCCAAUUUGAUUACGCCAAUAUACCCACACAUGUUUGCUGUAGUUAGUAAAGAUGAAUGGUCAGCCAGUAGCUACGCAAAGUUUAUAUUCAUAUACUUUUAAAUCGCCCCGAACCCUGGUGGAGCAGCAGUUCGAUUAUGUAUUUAAGAACAUUCCAUAUGAUCAAGUGGAAACUACAGGACAAAAAAUUGAAAACACUAAACGUUUAGAAAAUCUCAAAAUUGAUAGUUUGUUGCCGUUCACCAAUAUCUUAACUACAACACCCCUCAAAGAACAGAAACCCAGUGCGGACUCAGUGUUUAAAACAUACUCAAGAAAAAGAUUAUUCGAAGUUGAUAGCACCCGUGAACACAAUAGUGAAAAUUUUGAAAAUAGGCUGAAGAGGAAAGCCUUGGGGACUUUGAGAAGGCCCAAUAAAAGUAAGCUGAAAAAAGUCAGACUCAACAGUCGAGUGGUACUUGCUGAGAUUCCCUUUGGGGGUGCGAGCAAUUUAAAUUUUGAUCCCAACAAAAAUUUUCCGGGAUCAAGUAUGAUGACGGAUUACUUAGAUGAAGACGCCCAGAGAGUUAUCAAUGGAGACAACUUGUUGGAUUGUCCAAUUGCAACUUUAUUGAAUAUGGGCAAUACAUGUUUUUUGAACAGUGUGCUGUAUACCUUAAGAUUUGUUCCCACAUUUUCGCAUAAUUUGCACCAUUUGUUUAUGGACUUGAAUUUGGUUGGUACAAAAUUGAAGGAAAAUAAAACAAAAACCUCUUCUUUGGGUAGGAAUGGUAGUACCAUUAAUGGUGCUAGUUGGAGGAGUGCAAGUAGCAAAGAUUUGCUUUCCAUUGGGAAUGACACAAUUCCGAAAUCGGCAAACCAAAUUGUAACGGAAAAGUUGCAUGCCCUAUUUGCAACCUUGAAUAAUUUGGACGCGAAAGAUUCAUCCGACCCAUACCAGCCCGAAGCCUUAUUGCAAGCCAUAAGAGAGGCUAAUCCUCUAUUCGAAGGUAACCAUCAGCAGGAUGCUCACGAGUUUUUCGUCGAGUUGCUUAGCUCAUUGAGGUUAACUUGUGAUGAGUUGAAUGAGAAGAUCGAACAAAAUCCAGAUUUGAUCCGGGGGCCCGAAGCGGAGUCGGUAAAUGUGAACAAUAGUAGUAAACCGUGGAAAGUGUCACGGUCAUGGCAAAAGUCAUUGCGAAAGAAAGAGAAGAACAAUGUGAAAAAAAUCAUUAAAGAGCAAAUUCAUGAACAAGCCAUGGCAGACUCUGAAGAUAAUUCGUCGGUCGACGGUAACGGGGAGGCAAACCGCAAAAAGAUGGGUUACAAUUUCAUUGUGGAAGAUUUUGAGGGCGUUUCCUUGCACAGGACUAAAUGUUUAGAGUGCGAGGAAGUGAGCGAGCGAAAAGAACCGUUUUUGGAAAUACAGGUGCCAGUUAGUUUUCGCGGGGAGGAUCUGCCGAUCGAGAGCAUUUUCGGAUCUAUUUGUGUGACCUCGGAAAAGUUGUGCGACCAAAAUAAGUACUAUUGCGGCAAGUGCAACAGAUACAACGAAGCUGUCAGGGAGGUGCUUUACGAAAAACUGCCCAAUAUAAUGGUGCUUCAUUUGAAACGAUUCACCACAACGCAGUCCGGUAUUCAAAAAGUGAACGUUUUCGUCCCGACACCCCUGGAGCUGAGGUGUUUCUGUCAGGGUUGCAGCAGCCUGGACCUAUCCAAAAUGACGCCGCACCGUUAUAAGCUUUGUUGCGUCAUCAUGCAUUUAGGCGCUAGCAUGGCUUCGGGUCACUAUAUCGCCUACACUAGGGCGUCGUUUCAGACGCUCGAUUACCUGGACUGCUGCCGCGACAAUCCGAAAAAUUUUCUAACUUCCAGCAGCAGGGACUUAUCGUUGAGCUUCCUCAAGUUGUUCAGGCCGAAAGUAUUGGGGAAAACUCUCCCGGAAAACCAGAAUGGUUUGGGUGCCAAGAAAAGCGAUGUUCAGGUCUGUCCCAGUAUAAACUGUUGCGGCGUCCGUUGUAAACUGAGCCUAGGCUCGCCGAGCCACGACGACGACUGGCUCGAAUUCGACGACGAAAAGGUCAAAGUACUGUCGAGCGGGCAGUUCACGGAAAUCCUAAACAGGAGAUCGGACAGCACAAACACCCCUUACCUGUUGUUCUACUCGAAGGUGUAGUCAUCGCGGUCAGUCCAGACCGCAAAAUUGACGUUCGUUCGCGUAAGUCGCGCCCUCAUUUCGUCGUUGUCAUUAAUGUUAUAUAUAUGUCGGCGCGUGCACAUUGCGAAGCAAACCGUUCGACGAAUAAACAUUCCGAUUUCGCAUUACGUAUCUACGAUUUUUCAUUUCCGUUUCUCUUAAUGACGAGUCGACCAAUCGACUCAACGCAUCGACUGUCAGUUGAGGUGCUUCCAAACACUCGGCAUUAGUAAUUAGGGGGAAGGGUUCUCAAAGCGAACAAACUUGCCUCACUUGAAAUUCGUGGAGACUGGAGAUGUGGAUAUUGACAAAAAUCGGGUCUUUUAAUAUAUACCCUGUUCUCGGAACUAUCCAGUGGUAGUUUCUAUAGAUUGUGGGAGAUAUACUUCCCCUGCAUAUGCAGAAUGUCAGAGGCUGAGUGAAUCGAACUUGACCUAUCAUUAGAUCACCCCGACAAACCAAAUCCGAUUUAACUAAAAAUUGACAAACCAUUAACUGUUAACAAAUGACACAUUUAGUGAAAACAAGUAUAGUUUAUAGGUAUACUUGAAGCUUAAAGGCAAUGCAAGUGUAAUUAGUACCUCAACGUCUGCUACAUAUUUUGUAGGUUAAAUUAUCAUUACUUAACCAUUUUUGUGAAAGUUAUUGUAGUUCCAGCCUCAUAUCUAAACAAGAGUAAGAAAAUAGUAAACAGCUUUCCUUUUAUCAGUUUGAUCGGAAGUAAAUAUUGUGUCAUAUAAAGCAAGACAGUCAAUUAGAUCGAAGUAAGCAAAAUAGCAUAUUAUCUUAAAAUUGCCAAGACAGCUUAAAACCAAUAGUUUAUGAAGCAAAUUUUGCGUGUUUGUGUUUGUGGAGAUCUGCAGAUUUGGCCGAUUUUGAUUCACUAAGGUGCAACCUCUUGUAGAAUACCUUUAAUAAGUGCCUUUAUAUUUGUUAGCUAAUGUAAUAAUGCAUAGGGUGUCACAGCUUGUACAAGACAAUUUUCUAAGAUUAAAAUCUUAGACAUAUAAACAUGUAUUCUUAGGAGCUUCGUUUCCUAUACAAAAAGCGCCAAAGUUUUGAAAGCCAUUUAACACUCGUAUUGGCCUCAAAUAUUAAUUUUUCCGGUGUACUUACUGGUGUACCAAGUUUCAACCGAUUAUGUUCAGAUAUUCUGUAUUCUGUAGGAGAUGAGAAAACUUCUCCUCUCCUCUCAUAAAAAUAUUUUUAUAUAAGGUAUUAAUCCUAAAAAAUUAUCUUCUUACAAUAAAUUGUCACGCCCUGUAUAUAUGUUUCAUUACUUUUUCUGCAUAAUCGUUACGUUUACAACUUUAUAGAAUCCACGAAUGUUGAAUAUGAGGUUUUUCAGCUGCAGCUCGCUUGAUAUUGUGGUAAACUAUAUAUUCAAAUUCCAAUUUUAUAUUGCCUACCAUUACUAGUAGAAACUAGAUAUAUUUAACAGAACAGACUGAAAAAAUAUUACAGAGAAAUAGAUCCGAGAAUGGGGCUUUAUUCAAAACGCGGAUGAGAUUGUCCAUUCAGCUACCACAGCUUCAAUUUUAUUAUUUUCCUUUUGUUUCAAGUCUUUAACCGCAUUUAAUUUCAAACUUAAAACAAAACUGGGUGUUAGUUGUGACUACUAUCAGCAUUAGAGUUUGUAGAAUUCUAAACAGAAGAUUUUAAUUUUAUUUUCGCGUCUGUUCUGUUUUUUUUUUCAAAAUUAAUGAAUCACUUUUCACAAUUAUUGCCAAUCGGUAAGUUUUCACGUCUGCUGUAACUGUAGAAAAUAUAUUUCUUUCAUUAUCUCGCAGCAAAUGUCAUUCCUCCCCCUAAAAUACUGCUUUCCAUAAAAGAAGGUAAUAAGUCGUCUGUUUAUGAUUUGUUAUCAGUAACGAUUGUAUUAGUAAUCUUCAUCGAACUUUCUAUCGAUUAAGAAGGCACGCUGAAUUUACAGAUCAGUGGUGCUAUUAAACAUUGCUCUAAUAUUGUUUUUUUAAUUGAAACAGGGGAACAUUUAUCUCAUGUAGUUAAUAUGCGGCAUUUGAACAAAAAAGUGAUGUUUCGGUUGGUGUACUUCAGUAUCGUUAUGUACAUAUAUAUUAAUAUCGGCAUGUAAUAUUAUCUGGGAACCUCGUACCGAUCAAUUAGGUUAAAUGUACAUUUAUUUUUCGCAUGUUUACAUUCUUAGGGUAAGUAGUUAGAUAUAUUGUUUCUCCACAACUUUAGAUAUUAAUAAAUUACAUUUCACGUUUUUUAUUACAAAAAAAAGGUUGUACAAAUUAUACAAUUUUUUUAAUGUUAUUUAUAGAUUAUUCUCGAAUUUAUGUAAAAUUGUUAAAUUUAAAAGUUUUACGGGACGGUAAUGUGUGAAAACCUUAUUAAAAUUCGGUGUCGGUUUACAGUCAUAAACUUUGUGUCUAACUGCCGAGCGAUGAAGAAUCGACGCUAAAGCCUGCAUAUUUGAAUUAAUUUUCCUAAUAUUUUGAUUACUUGUUUGUUUAAUAAUCAAAUAGCCAAACCAAAAAUCUGUCUAGCAUAGUGUACUAAAUUUAAUAGUUAAUAUAAGACAGUUAAACGCGUUUUAAGCGUAGCUUAGCUAGCGGUGUCGAUUGUGAACAGUCUCUGCUAAAUUUGUGAUUUAAAGCAAAGUUAAAGCAAACAUCGAUCGGUUGUAUAAAAAUAUAAUCACGCUUCCAGAAAGUCGAAGUUUGCUUUAACUUAAAAAAAAAUAUAAUUCAGACCAGUAUUAAAAAUUUAGGUUAGGUAUAAAUAAUUCGUGAUAUUAGAGUUAACAUUAGUUAUUGGUUUAUUAAUUUCAUAUCGGGCGGUGGUUUUAUUGGUCCUUCGUUAUCCUGGAGAGUAGUUCUUUUCAUGCGAGUGGCCUAUCAUUGAUAUUAGAAUAAUGUAUGCCUGAGACAUUCAUAUUAGAUUGAUAUUUCAGUUCCCUAAAUUCGCAUCUUGGUUCAGUGUUUGUGACUUAAGAAUAUGUCUCUGUUGGUUACACUUAGUUUAUUAUUGUCGGUUGAUUGUACCAUUAACACAGACCACAAAACGUUGUAAAAUUAUUUAAAUAUGUGCCCCGAAAAGAAAGGAAGCUGUAUGUAGUCGCCAACGCCAUCGUAAGCCAAAGGCCUAGCUAAUUGUCUGUAAAUAAAAACACGGUUCUUCUAGAAAAUUCUUGAAAAUUAAGUUUUUUGAAGCAAAUUUUUAUAGCUAUAAAAUUUGAAUUGAAUUUUUUAAGUUAUAUAUUAACGACGUUCCAUUAACGGUUUUUCAAGUUAAUCAUUUGUCCAUUAUAAUCACAUUAUAUACAGUGUGUCUAUUGACGUUCGUUAAAAUUCGUCAAUUUUGUUGUGCCCAGCGGUCUCUAUUAACAAUAUCCAUAUAUUGUUUUAUUUACAACUGACUCCAAAACAGUGUUAAACACUGGUAGCGGAGUAUAUACUUACAAUUAAUUUAAUUAAAAAAAUCUAUUUUUGCGAGGAGAAAAUCAAGAUCACAAAGCUAACAUUAAUGAGAAAAGCAAAGAUACUAAAAUGAAAAUACAGGAAAAUUAAAGAUAUCAAACAACAGGAACCUUUUGAAAAGGAAGAAAAAAAAAAGAGUCGAUUAUUAUAAUCGGUCAAGUCAUGUUCAUGAACACUUAACUAAAAGCGCUUUUAUUCACUAUGUGAAAUAGAUAAAAAAGUUAAACAAUAACAUUUUAUAAUAAAAUAGUUAGUGGAAAUAAUUUUUUCUACUCCUGUAAAAUACCUAAUUAUAUUUCAGACUCGUUCUUGAAGAUUACACAUAACGGAGUACUAUGACCCCGGUGACGCCACGAAUUCAUAGCCUGAAAACAAAAAAUAUACCCCGUCCGGUUCCUCUUCACCGCCGACCUCUUUCGAUAUUCUAAUUCGUAACUGUAUACGUGUAAUUAGAGAGACUAAUUUUUUUCCCAAGUAUACUAGUAGUGUUGUAAUCCCAUAGUGAUAAAUAGAGUGAGAAAUGGGAGGUGGCGCUAAUAUUAAAAUCGGAACAAUUAGCCAGGCAAAUACACAAAAGUGCCGGUAAGGAAUUGUGUCGGGUAUCGAGCAUCAGGAAGAUGUUUACGAAUUAGAAGGCGCCGAGUAUUCGGAAAUCGGUUCGUAGUUAGCGAGUGUUGAGUUUCUUACAUUUGUUAUGAGUACUUUGUCCGCGUAGUCUUUGAGCUCUACAAUUUACAUGGCGAAAACUAUUCUUGGCUCCGACGUUAUAAAAGUUUCAAAAGGCAAGCAACAAUCCAGGCAAAAGUUAAAAGCAUUUAAAUGUAUUAAUUUAUGUAAAACAAAAUAUGAUAACAAAGAAGUCUAAUUAUUUUAUCUAUUUUUCACACAGUUCAAAUUUUAAAUCAAAAAUUUACUAAAUCUAUUUUUUUUAUCACCCGGUAACUCGGUUAGCACGCAUUUCCGGAUAUAUAUUUAUAUAAGAUUUUCUUUUCUUCAAAAAUAUAAGUUUUGCCCACUUUAAACUUGAAUUUUUGUGUAAACAGGUACAUAUUAACAAAACUUUUGUGGUUUUCGUCAUCUUCAAUAUAUAUUUUCUUUUGGAACUUUUGCUUCAAAUAAUUCCAAAAUUUAUCUCCAAAAAUACUUUUAUUUUUAGUCAGACUUUAGUUUAGCUCUCAUAAAGAAGAGUGUAGAGGUAAAUGCCCUUAAAAUUAUGUACAAAAUAUACAGGGUGUUUCAAAACAAAUGCGAAGAACUUAAGGGGGUGAUUCCUUGUUUAAAAUAAAUAAGCCCGUCUAUUGAUUUUUUUUCCAUGUGAUUGUCAAGUUUUUCCUUAAAUUUAGUUACGAAGAAUAAUGGAAAAUUAAAAAAAUAUGUACAAAGUGUGUUUUUAUAAUAGUAAUACUUUUCCGCCAUUUUUGUAGCACGAUAUCUCCCUUUUGAACAAACGUUUACAUGACUCCUUAUUUUAAAGAAACACCCACUUAAGUUUUUUGCAUUUGUGUGGAAACACCCUUUAUGUAACUAUUUUUAAAUGAUUAAAUUUCGUUCUUCAUGAGUUCCAUUACCCAGUCUGGACUAAGUUAAAAGUUCAGUUGGUUCGUUACGAAAUUUACAAAAACUAUACUUAAUCAUAUUUUUUUCUUUGUUUCAAGUAAUAGCAUAGUUACAGUUAUUAGAAUUACCGGAAAACAGGAAGAAUUUUUUAAGAAAAUUGUAAUCAAAUUUGCAAAAGAUCAUAUUAUAUUCUGUUAAUAAAUAUUUCUUCAUUUUUUGAAUGUAAUAAAAUAACCUCAGAUAUUUUUUUAGUGAAGCUAUUUUGCUCCGUUGGCUUUUUAAAUAUCAAAGGAAAAACUGUCAUUGUUAUUCAUACGUCACAUUCAUUCCGAAUAACUUAUAUAUGGUGGAAAUGAUGAAUAAACCAGCGUAAAAAAAUUGUUUUUAAUGGUCAAAUUACAGUUUAAAAGUGGAUACUGUGUGUUGCUCAGUCAGUAUGGCGACGUUUGAGUACCACUAUUGUAAAAAAUAAGACUGAAGAAAUAUUAACAGGAGUUUUUAUCUGCUGCCAAUUAACAAAUAGCGUCAGUGUUUGUUGCUUUUCGAAGCGUUGAAAUUCUUUCUUAAAAAUUUAUUAAAUUAAAAUUAUACUUUCUGAGUCUAAUUUUUCAAAGAAACUUCCACAGGCUACUAUAAUACUAUUUACAAAUCUUCUGGGUUGCUGCUCCGUCGGUUGACUUUUCGCCAAUCAUCCUGUUGCCAAGGGGAUGAUUAUCGAAACGCGAUCAGGACGCAGGAAAUUUGCGAUAUUCUUUCGUAAAGUCUGCGAACAAUCCAAUUUGAAAUACUCCUAAGCUUUUUUAUAUAAAUAUACGCAUAAUCUCAAUAUACUGUUUUAUAUGAAACUGUAAAUUUAAGUAUAAUAAAAUAAAAGCGUCUACCUCUCCUCCAUUUUCUUCCACGUUGUUUGUUUUUGACAUUUCUUAAAAAUAAAAUCGAAAAAUCGCACUGGGGAAGUGUAUAGUGUUUAUAGAAAUAAAAAAUAUCCGGUUUUUAUUUAUAAAAUAUUGCCACAUUCUUACUUACUUUUAUUUACAUCAAACAUUAAAAUGUAUGGAAAAAGUCAAAGAGAUAAGAAGAAUAAUAAUAACAAUACUACACACAAAACGCAUAGCUAAUAAUGUAUAAAAAUAGAUAACAUUUUAUUUACACAAACGAUACUUUAGAGAAAUUAAAAAAAAAUUAAAACUGAUUUAGUUUUGGUUAGUUUUAAAAUUCCUAAGUUCAUCUUUGUUCUAUAUUUUCGUAGGCAGUACAUUAAGCAUUUAUAUUCCUAUUGAGUCAGGAGAAUUCUAUUCACAGAUAAUUAAAGGGGGCUCUGACUACUUGCUUCACUAUUUAAUAUAAAUCGGUGUUCGAGAAUAAGAAUACCCGCCAAAGUCUCAGGCCCGGCGUGCUUCUGAGGGUCCUCUUCAUGCUUUUGAUGACACACACUGCCUUAGAGACCCUCCGAAGAAAACCCGUCCUACCUCAGAGCAGAUGCUUUUUAAAAAUGAUACAGAUUAAUAAUUUGCUUUGUUGUUAAUAUUUGCCUUAAAUUUCGUAAAAAAAACUCUAUGAGUUGAUAGUGAUUUGUUUACAAUUUACAUUUUAGUCUACUAUAAUUCCAAGAAACUGCUUUGUGCUAUCGACCCUUAGCACCAUUUAGCAAUCAAGAGUACAAAACGGAUCUAAUUUGUUUUAGUUGUAUGUAAGUACAAAGAAUUCAACCACUUCAAGAUUUGUAUUAAUUUUUGCUUCCAAUUGUUUAUCAUCUUUUAAAAGGAAGAAACAUCGUUAAUUUUUUGCACAGUAGAAAGUGAUAGCUUUACAGAAAGGACAGCCACAUGCUCGCUAUGGGCUUUACGAUAUUCCGCGCAUAUCCCAAAAUUUCACACUUGGGGCUACACACUUCUCAUUUUUCAAACCUAAACUGAACCCUCUUCUCAACAUUUUUCUAUGGUCGUAUAAUCAGCAUAUAUCUAGUUUUCUAUUAACGUAACAUCAACUUAGAUCUUUUAACCUACAUCAUUAUCGGUUUCCAGUCAUUAAGUUAUUAAUUUAAUUAUAAAUAUUUGAAUAUUUGUCUCAAUUUGUGUGCUAACGUAAGUGCUCGUAAGCAAUUUUCUUGUCAAUCUUGAUUUUUUCUUCCUAGCUUUAGAGUUAUUGGAGGAAAUAUAAUAAUGUAUGUUCUCAAACGAGUCACUUUUCUUUCUAGUUUCUUGACAGCUUAACAGCUUACACGGAACACCUUAACUCGAAUUAACUUUAGUCUUAGGCAUAAUACGAACAAAGGAACGUCGAUAUAAAACGAAACUCUGUAAUAAACGACCGUCAUUUAUUGACACCACUGUUCUGUUGCGUUAUUAAAUUUGUCUCGCCGACCACCUGUGUAUAAAUCGAGGAAAAUACUUUUUACCGUUUUAAGUACAUGUAUAAUAAUAAAUAUAAAAAAUAUACAAUAUAAAUAAUGUAUAAAAUCGGGAAUGAUAUUUGUAAAUUGACUGUAAUAAAUUAUUGACAUUUUAAUUUAAAUAAAGUUUUGUUUAUAAACUGG